rnacentral:sRNA from 1 species
GCCUCCUACCCCUCCCCCCCACCCUCCUGUGUAGCCACUUCUAGCACAGACUUCAGGGCUCACCGUCAGCACCUGCAACACAGUCCUCCUGUGUCACCAAUUGUCAGCUGUCAGGCUGUUCGGCACUUUAAACCCAUUUCUAUUAGAGUGACACUGAUUUUGAGUGGUUCCCUUCUCUUCCCCCCUUCGCUUUCUUCCCUGGGAACUUGUGAUCUGCGUAUGGCAGGAUGCGCCAGGUAGUGCGUGGGUGCCAUCUUUCUAACCCGGUGACACAUCCAGUCUCUGGACUGGGGCGUCUCCGGCCUCCAGCAGCAUUCUGCCCGAGGCUGUUCUGCUGUUAAUGGUGACUGCUGUGAGCCACUGAGUCAGGCCUUCCAGAUGAGGAGAGGGUGUUUGGUUCAACCAAACCACUGGCCAUUUGACCAGGGGCUUCGUAGCAGCAAGGGCCAGGAGACAGGUGUGUUCUGUGUGGUUUCUGUGUUUCAUUUGUGGUGGUGUUUUUGGCCAGGGUUGGGAGGUUUUUUGUUUGUUCUGUUUGAUGACACCAUAUGUGUGUAACAUCUCCACACAGAGCCACACAGUAUGUACGUGAAGCCAGCUCUGCAUCCUUCCUUAGAGCAGUUAUGUUGUUACCUUCAAAAUUUGGACUUGGUUAUUAGAACCUGAACACGUAAUUGGAAAAACAGUAAUUCCCUAACCUUGCAGGGCAGAGUCUAGGCUUUCCACCUGCAGCGUUAGAAACACACAGCAGUGUUCAGGUGUGGGCAGGUAGACACACCUGGGGUGGUCCCGCAGACUGCAUGGAGAUGGCAGUGGCUCUCCGUGGCAUCACUGCUGCAUGACAGUGUGACUUUCACGUGGAUCUGUGUUGCUGCAACAGAAGUAUUUGGCUGGUAGAAUUUCCACAUGGAUUUUUUUUUCUCUUAAAAAGCAAGAGAACAAACUGCGAUUGAGCCUCUUUUUAGCGCUCAGUAGAGCAGGCGCACAGGAAGCAGAUGAGAAUAAGCCCGUGCUGGUGCGGAAGACUGUGCUAUUGAAGUGGCGCGUUGCAAAGGCCUGUCCGUGCCCUUUCCUCGCUUAGUUCCUGCCUGCUGCCCGCCGCCCCUCCUGCCCCUCAGGGAAUGCUGAAGCCUCUGCCCCUGGCCUGUGCUCUGCUUCUCACUGCCUGGGUCUCACGACCAUGGGUGGAAGCAAAACUUGCCUUGCAAGUGAAGCCUCGCUUGGCCAUUCUCGUUUCUUCCCGCUGUGGUGCACCUUCUUGGGCUGUUUCUGGAUCUGUCUGCAUGCACCCACCGCCACCCCCACGCUCGCCUCCACCUCAGAGUAAGUGUUGUGUUUUGCCACGUUUCAGACUACUCCAAAGGAUUCGGCGGGAAGUAUGGGGUGCAGAAGGAUCGGAUGGAUAAGAAUGCGUCCACCUUUGAGGAUGUCACCCAGGUGUCCUCUGCCUACCAGAAGACAGUACCUGUCGAAGCUG